rnacentral:rRNA from 1 species
GACGAACGCUGGCGGCGCGCCUAACACAUGCAAGUCGAACGAGCGAGAGAGAGCUUGCUUUCUCAAGCGAGUGGCGAACGGGUGAGUAACGCGUGAGGAACCUGCCUCAAAGAGGGGGACAACAGUUGGAAACGACUGCUAAUACCGCAUAAGCCCACAGGUCGGCAUCGACCAGAGGGAAACGGAGCAAUCCGCUUUGAGAUGGCCUCGCGUCCGAUUAGCUAGUUGGUGAGGUAACGGCCCACCAAGGCAACGAUCGGUAGCCGGACUGAGAGGUUGAACGGCCACAGUGGGACUGAGACACGGCCCAGACUCCUACGGGAGGCAGCAGUGGGGAAUAUUGCACAAUGGGGGAAAACCUGAUGCAGCGACGCCGCGUGGAGGAAGAAGGUCUUCGGAUUGUAAACUCCUGUUGUGGAGGAAGAUAAUGACGGUACUCAACAAGGAAGUGACGGCUAACUACGUG